UGUUCCAACAAAGUCCUGAAUGCUGGAAUUAAGAUUGGAGGCUUAGGGAAGACCAUGGAAAUAGACGAAUCGAAGUUUGGUGCCAAGAGAAAGUAUAAGCGAGGGAGAGUAUCAGAAGGUCCGUGGGUAUUUGGCGUAGUGGAGCGAGGAUCACAGAAGCAUUUGAGCAGUUGCUGAAAGACAUCGCUGAACAGUUUCCACUGCAGUAAAUUGCAAUUCCAAACGGCUCCCUUAGGAGCCACCACAUAUUAAAAGGUCAAUGAUCAAUAAAAAGUUUAAACUUCCCAAUCCUUUAUAAUGAAUGGAAAAUAAGUAUGUCGGUCGCCUUGCAAAUUAACUCCCCAACUAAACAUCGAGAAGACCUGGUACUAGUAUUUCAUUUUAAAAUGGCGGCUAUUUGGCUCUCACGUUUUCGUCUUUCCUUAUGAAGUUGUUCUUGCUUCCAAUUGAAAGAAAUAACUAUUUCGGUAGCGUGUC